rnacentral:rRNA from 1 species
UACAGGGGGUGCAAACGUUGCUCGGAAUCAUUGGGCGUAAAGCGCACGUAGGCGGUUUGUUAUGUCGGAUGUGAAAUCCCUCGGCUCAACUGAGGAACUGCACGGGAGACUGCCGGGCUUGAGUUCGGGAGAGGGAAGCGGAAUUCCGGGUGUAGCGGUGAAAUGCGUAGAUAUCCGGAGGAACACCGGUGGCGAAGGCGGCUUCCUGGACCGACACUGACGCUGAGGCGCGAAAGCUAGGGGAGCAAACGGG